GGGACAACAGUUGGAAACGACUGCUAAUACCGCAUAAGCCCACGGGUCGGCAUCGACCUGAGGGAAAAGGAGCAAUCCGCUUUGAGAUGGCCUCGCGUCCGAUUAGCUAGUUGGUGAGGUAAUGGCCCACCAAGGCGACGAUCGGUAGCCGGACUGAGAGGUUGAACGGCCACAUUGGGACUGAGACACGGCCCAGACUCCUACGGGAGGCAGCAGUGGGGAAUAUUGCACAAUGGGGGAAACCCUGAUGCAGCGACGCCGCGUGGAGGAAGAAGGUCUUCGGAUUGUAAACUCCUGUUGUUGAGGAAGAUAAUGACGGUACUCAACAAGGAAGUGACGGCUAACUACGUGCCAGCAGCCGCGGUAAAACGUAGGUCACAAGCGUUGUCCGGAAUUACUGGGUGUAAAGGGAGCGCAGGCGGGAAGACAAGUUGGAAGUGAAAUCUAUGGGCUCAACCCAUAAACUGCUUUCAAAACUGUUUUUCUUGAGUAGUGCAGAGGUAGGCGGAAUUCCCGGUGUAGCGGUGGAAUGCGUAGAUAUCGGGAGGAACACCAGUGGCGAAGGCGGCCUACUGGGCACCAACUGACGCUGAGGCUCGAAAGUGUGGGUAGCAAACAGGAUUAGAUACCCUGGUAGUCCACACCGUAAACGA
rnacentral:rRNA from 1 species